UGGUUUUCCAACAUUUGUACGGAUUUCGUUUCAGGAGCAUCUGGAAUUUGUAUUACUCUGUGCUAUGAAUUUUUUUGUAUUGCUAAUGGAAAAAAGACAGCAGAAAAAAAAACAUUCUAGGCUGAUUCAAUCAUGCUUGUCACGAAAUACUGGAUAUAAUCUUUACUUACUGGCAGUAGCAAGACAGAGAACAAUUGUGAUCCAGAAAGCAAAAAAUACGAGUAAGGCCAAAAAUGUUAGCAAUGGCUGGAAAAAUAGGCCUGGAAGUUCAGCCAAACAUUUUGCACUCUCUUUGAACAAGUGAGCCAAAGUACUAAUACGUUUACGCAGUGCACAAAGUAGGAACAACAGGAUAAUCUGUAACAUUCUUCUAAUAGUUCACUUGGAUUUGUUUUAUCCAAUGUGGUUUUGAUUCGAAUGUACGUCCACCAUAGUAGGCCAGUACCACCUAAUAUAAAAUAAAAUGGUUGAACUCAAAUUCUUCUAGUAAACCGGAAAUAUUUCAUCAGGCCACAGUAACCAGGAUCAUAACUAUCCAACUCACAAUGCUUGCCAGCAGAUGAAAGAUUGCGAUCAUGAAUAAUGACAGGACUAAAAUUGCAAUGAAGGAUAUUAUAAGUUGUAACAUAAGGAUGCUUAUUUGAUGAGGCAAGAUAAGAUCAAUUAAUUACCAAAAGCAAGAAAAGAUAAAGCUACAAUUUCCC